GAUUUUAUUAAUCUAAUUAAGAUUGAUUUUGUCUUUAGUUUUGGAUUGGCUAUUAAUAAAUAAUAUUAAAUAUAAGUUUUUGCGGGAGUUUAUUUUAUCUUGAAGAUUAAAUUAGGAGUUGCUUUAACUGUAGUUUUUAGGUUUGAUUAUUAUGUAAUUAUAGAAUUGGUUAAUUAUUUAAGGGUUGUUUAAGAUUGUGCCAGCAUAUGCGGUUAUACAUUCGACCCAGGUCAAUCAUAUUGGUGUUCUGCAUUAACUUAUUUUGUUGAGGAUUAAAAUUUUAUUAUUAGGUGGAAUUUUUAAUUUUAUUAAUAUAUCUU
rnacentral:rRNA from 1 species